rnacentral:rRNA from 1 species
UAGAGUUUGAUCCUGGCUCAGAAUCAACGCUGGUGGCGUGCCUAACACAUGCAAGUCGAACGCGAAAGCCCCUUCGGGGGUAAGUAGAGUGGCGUCCGGGUGAGUAACACGUAGGUAAUCUACCUCUGGGUGGGGAAUAACGUCUCGAAAGAGACGCUAAUACCGCAUAAUGCAGCGGCACCUAAUGGUGAAUAGUUGUUAAAGCGGGGGACCUUCGGGCCUCGCGCCUGGAGAGGAGCCUGCGGCAGAUUAGCUUGUUGGUGAGGUAAUGGCUCACCAAGGCGACGAUCUGUAGCUGGUCUGAGAGGACGGCCAGCCACACUGGCACUGACACACGGGCCAGACUCCUACGGGAGGCAGCAGUGGGGAAUUUUGGGCAAUGGGCGAAAGCCUGACCCAGCAACGCCGCGUGAGGGAGGAAAUCCUUCGGGAUGUAAACCUCACAAGCAAGGGAAGAGCGCGAAGGGGUGAAUACCCCCUUCGUCCGACGGUACCUUGCGUAAGCCACGGCUAACUACGUGCCAGCAGCCCCGGUCA